UCUGGUGGCGAUGCGCUUAGGGGACACACCCGUUCCCAUCCCGAACACGAUGGUUAAGACCUAAGCGGCCGAUGGUACUAUGCUGGAGACGGCAUGGGAGAGCAGGUGGCUGCCAGAU
rnacentral:rRNA from 1 species